UUGAAUACAAAAUUCUAAAUUAAUCUCUAAGUCCCUUGUGCUGGGUCAUAAACUCAUAGUCACCCACGUGAGAGUAACUGUAUUUAUUUUAAAAAUAAAAUUAAUCUAAAAUGCCUGCAGGCUCUUCAACUCUUUCUAUUUGCUCUAAACUCCGUCCUGCUGCCGAGAAAUCUCCACUCUCUACUGUACCAUCGAUUAAUUACUCUACGCCACUCUCAAUUAAUUCCAACUACAGAUCGUUUUAUUAUGCCGGGCUUCCCCACUUAUGGGUUUAGUUGUGGGUUAGGGUUCUCUCGAUUUAGGGCUCCGACACAAUUCUCUCGAUUUAGGGGUUGAUUUUACUCUCGAUUUUGGGCUGCUACCGGGUUGCCUUGAUUUAGGAUCUUUUGUGCUACUAAGUUCGAGUUUGGGAUUAUUUGGUCUUUAUAUUCAGGGGUUGCUACUGUGAUUGAUUCUUUGUGUUGCUUGGUGAUUUCGAGUACUGCUGCUGGGUUUUGUUGGAUUACUACUGCUACUACUGGUGUGUUUUUACACCCAAAAGGUGCGAUUGCUGGCUUCUCUAUGUUAUAUUGAUCGUAGCAACGAAAAUCAAGUCAAUAACUCUUUGCUCCACUGGCCAUCUGUGUUACUUAUCCAUUGCUGGAUUUUUUUUGGCUUUCUAGUCAUUUCAGGUUCUUAAUAUAUAAGGUGUACACACUUUUCUGUUGAUGUUGAUUGAGGAUUCUUGUGAUUAUAUGUUUUUCUUUUCUUUUUCUUUUACCUUUUGGUCAAAUGGUGUUGAGUCCUUUCUUACGACUUGCAUUAGCAAAAUGUUUAAUGAAUGCUGCCUCUUCUCAGGUGUAAUUCACUAUGAUGAUUUCAGUUCUUAUUUUUAUUCUUUGAUUUUGUCAAUCCAGGUUUUGUCUCUGGGUAGAAGGCUUAUUUUGAGGAUCAUUACUGAGAAACCUGCUUUUAUGUUGCCAUGUGUACUUUUUUAGUCUAACCUGCUUUAUGCAAUAGUAUAGUGCUGGCUUUGCAGAGAUCUGAAAAGUCACAACCUUACUUGCAUUCCUUAUCUUCAGUUCUUGCUGCUAUAUAUCAAGGCAUUGCUUCUCGGGCUUAAAUCACGCACUAGUUUCCGGCGCCAAGGAGCAUCCUAGUUAUGGGGAAAUAACAGAAUGAAAGCUAGAUCCAGCAGACAGUUUCUCCUUUCCAUCUUUUCCGAUAAUAAAAGAUCGAAAGCUUUCAAUUCCGAUGCUAGGAGUUGAUAGCUCCCUGGAGAGGAAUAUGUGAAUGCUUCUAGUUUUGUGGUCAUGCCUGGACGCGGGAGAAAGUUGACAGUGCAUUCAAAUGUAUAAAUAUGCUAUUAAUUGUUAAGUUUAGAUUACAUAAUGCUUUGUAGAGUCAUAUUUUUCAAUGUAAUAAACAGUUAUGUGAUAUUUAUUAUUAAUAAGAUCGAAUCGAUGGUUCACUUUU